rnacentral:misc_RNA from 1 species
GGAUUUCUUUGCAAUCUUGCAAAUUCAGGUCCAGAGGCUAAAUAAUUGUUUUAUUUCAGCUCAAAGAGCAGUUCUUUCUUAAUGAUGAGGCCUCUAAGUUCAAAAAUUUGAUUUCUUUUCCUUCUUGAUAGCUUUCAGUAAAUACUCAAAGCUAUUCUAAAGUUUUACCCAUUAAUUGGUAAAAACCACUUCGCAGAUAAAUUCAUUUAUCUAUAUAUUUUAGUCUAAUAAAAGUUGAAUGGUGAUCAUUUCUAUCUGAACCAACAUAGCC